rnacentral:rRNA from 1 species
UACGGAGGAUGCAAGCGUUAUCCGGAAUGAUUGGGCGUAAAGCGUCCGCAGGUGGCAAUGUAAGUCUGCUGUCAAAGCGUCUGGCUCAACCAGAUAAAGGCAGUGGAAACUACAUAGCUAGAGUAAGGUAGGGGUAGAGGGAAUUCCUGGUGUAGCGGUGAAAUGCGUAGAGAUCAGGAAGAACACCGGUGGCGAAAGCGCUCUGCUGGACCGAUACUGACACUGAGGAGCGAAAGCCAGGGGAGCAAACGGG